rnacentral:rRNA from 1 species
GACGAACGCGGCGGCGUGCCUAAUACAUGCAAGUAGAACGCUGAAGGAGGAGCUUGCUUCUCCGGAUGAGUUGCGAACGGGUGAGUAACGCGUAGGUAACCUGCCUGGUAGCGGGGGAUAACUAUUGGAAACGAUAGCUAAUACCGCAUAAGAGUAGAUGUUGCAUGACAUUUGCUUAAAAGGUGCAAUUGCAUCACUACCAGAUGGACCUGCGUUGUAUUAGCUAGUUGGUGGGGUAACGGCUCACCAAGGCGACGAUACAUAGCCGACCUGAGAGGGUGAUCGGCCACACUGGGACUGAGACACGGCCCAGACUCCUACGGGAGGCAGCAGUAGGGAAUCUUCGGCAAUGGACGGAAGUCUGACCGAGCAACGCCGCGUGAGUGAAGAAGGUUUUCGGAUCGUAAAGCUCUGUUGUAAGAGAAGAAACGAGUGUGAGAGUGGAAAA